AGGAGAAGGAAUGAGAAUGGUUCGAGGGUUUCUGAUGUAGA
rnacentral:sRNA from 1 species